rnacentral:rRNA from 1 species
CACGUAGGGCGCAAGCGUUGUCCGGAAUUAUUGGGCGUAAAGAGCUCGUAGGCGCCCUGUCGCGUCGGAUGUGAAAGCCCGGGGCUUACCCCGGGUCUGCAUUCGAUACGGGCAGGCUAGAGUGUGGUAGGGGAGAUCGGAAUUCCUGGUGUAGCGGUGAAAUGCGCAGAUAUCGGGGAGGAACACCGGUGGCGAAGGCGGUUCUCUGGGCCUUACCUGACGCUGAGGAGCGAAAGCGUGGGGAGCGAACAGG